rnacentral:rRNA from 1 species
GAUGAACGCUAGCUACAGGCUUAACACAUGCAAGUCGAGGGACCGGCGCACGGGUGAGUAACGCGUAUCCAACCUUCCCAUUACUGUGGGAUAACCUGCCGAAAGGCAGACUAAUACCGCAUAGUAAUGGAUGGGGAUGCGUCUGAUUAGCUUGUUGGCGGGGUAACGGCCCACCAAGUCAACGAUCAGGAGGGGUUCUGAGAGCAAGGUCCCCCACAUUGGAACUGGGAUACUGUCCAAACUCCUCAGGGAGGCAGCAGUGUGGAAUAUUGGUCAAUGUGCGUUAGCCUGAACCAGCCAAGUAGCGUGAAGGAUGAAGGCUUAUGGGUCGUAAACUUCUUUUAUAUAAGAAUCUGUAUUAUAUGAAUAAGGAUCGGCUAACUCCGUGCCAGCAGCCGCGGUAAUAC